rnacentral:rRNA from 1 species
AAGCGUUUAUGACCAGACUUGGGCUUGGUUAAUCAUCUGGGGUUCUCCCCAGUGCACUUUUCCAGUCCAGGCCAGCAUCAGUUUUCCCCGGGGGAUAAAGGCGGCGGGAAUGUGGCUCUCUUCGGGGAGUGUUAUAGCCUAUUGUAUAAUACCCUUAUGGGGACCGAGGUACGCGCUCUGCAAGGAUGCUGGCGUAAUGGUCAUCAACGA